UACGAAGGGGGCUAGCGUUGCUCGGAAUCACUGGGCGUAAAGGGUGCGUAGGCGGGUCUUUAAGUCAGGGGUGAAAUCCUGGAGCUCAACUCCAGAACUGCCUUUGAUACUGAGAUCUUGAGUUCGGGAGAGGUGAGUGGAACUGCGAGUGUAGAGGUGAAAUUCGUAGAUAUUCGCAAGAACACCAGUGGCGAAGGCGGCUCACUGGCCCGGUACUGACGCUGAGGUGCGAAAGCGUGGGAGCAAC
rnacentral:rRNA from 1 species